AACGAACGCUGGCGGCAUGCCUAACACAUGCAAGUCGAACGAGACCUUCGGGUCUAGUGGCGCACGGGUGCGUAACGCGUGGGAACCUGCCCUUAGGUUCGGAAUAACUCCCCGAAAGGGGUGCUAAUACCGGAUAAUGUCUUCGGACCAAAGAUUUAUCGCCUUUGGAUGGGCCCGCGUUGGAUUAGCUAGUUGGUAGGGUAAAAGCCUACCAAGGCGACGAUCCAUAGCUGGUCUGAGAGGAUGAUCAGCCACACUGGGACUGAGACACGGCCCAGACUCCUGCGGGAGGCAGCAGUGGGGAAUAUUGGACGAUGGGCGAAAGCCUGAUCCAGCAAUGCCGCGUGAGUGAUGAAGGCCUUAGGGUUGUAAAGCGCUUUUACCCGGGAUGAUAAUGACAGUACCGGGAGAAUAAGCUCCGGCUAACUCCGUG
rnacentral:rRNA from 1 species